rnacentral:rRNA from 1 species
GGGACAACAGUUGGAAACGACUGCUAAUACCGCAUAAGCCCACGGGUCGGCAUCGAGCAGAGGGAAAAGGAGCAAUCCGCCUUGAGAUGGCCUCGCGUCCGAUUAGCUAGUUGGUGAGGUAACGGCCCACCAAGGCAACGAUCGGUAGCCGGACUGAGAGGUUGAACGGCCACAUUGGGACUGAGACACGGCCCAGACUCCUACGGGAGGCAGCAGUGGGGAAUAUUGCACAAUGGGGGAAACCCUGAUGCAGCGACGCCGCGUGGAGGAAGAAGGUCUUCGGAUUGUAAACUCCUGUUGUUGAGGAAGAUAAUGACGGUACUCAACAGGGAAGUGACGGCUAACUACGUGCCAGCAGCCGCGGUAAAACGUAGGUCACAAGCGUUGUCCGGAAUUACUGGGUGUAAAGGGAGCGCAGGCGGGAAGACAAGUUGGAAGUGAAAUCCAUGGGCUCAACCCAUGAACUGCUUUCAAAACUGUUUUUCUUGAGUAGUGCAGAGGUAGGCGGAAUUCCCGGUGUAGCGGUGGAAUGCGUAGAUAUCGGGAGGAACACCAGUGGCGAAGGCGGCCUACUGGGCACCAACUGACGCUGAGGCUCGAAAGUGUGGGUAGCAAACAGGAUUAGAUACCCUGGUAGUCCACACCGUAAACGAUGAUUACUAGGUGUUGGAGGAUUGACCCCUUCAGUGCCGCAG